rnacentral:tRNA from 2 species
GCCAAUGUAGCUCAGGGGUAGAGCACUUCCAUGGUAAGGAAGGGGUCGGGGGUUCAAAUCCCUUCAUUGGCU